rnacentral:misc_RNA from 1 species
UGGUUCUGGCAUCGAUGAAGAACGCAGCGAAAUGCGAUAAGUAAUGUGAAUUGCAGAAUUCAGUGAAUCAUCGAAUCUUUGAACGCACAUUGCGCCCGCCAGUACUCUGGCGGGCAUGCCUGUCCGAGCGUCAUUUCAACCCUCGACGCCCCCCCCGGGGGGCGCCGGUGUUGGGGGACGGCCCGCCGCCCAGAGCGGAGGGCCGCCCCCGAAAUGCAGUGGCGACCCCGCCGCAGCCUCCCCUGCGUAGUAGCUACAUACUGAAACCUCGCACCGGAGAGCGGCGCGGCUCUGCCGUCAAACCCCAACUCACGAAUGGUUGACCUCGGAUCAGGUAGGAAUACCCGCUGA